UCAAAGUUUGGGCUAUAUCUA
rnacentral:siRNA from 1 species